AACGAACGCUGGCGGCAGGCCUAACACAUGCAAGUCGAGCGAGGACUUCGGUCCUAGCGGCGGACGGGUGAGUAACGCGUGGGAACGUGCCCUUUGCUUCGGAAUAGCCCUGGGAAACUGGGAGUAAUACCGGAUGAGCCCUUUGGGGGAAAGAUUUAUCGGCGAAGGAUCGGCCCGCGUUGGAUUAGGUAGUUGGUGGGGUAAUGGCCUACCAAGCCGACGAUCCAUAGCUGGUUUGAGAGGAUGAUCAGCCACACUGGGACUGAGACACGGCCCAGACUCCUACGGGAGGCAGCAGUGGGGAAUCUUAGACAAUGGGGGAAACCCUGAUCGAGCCAUGCCGCGUGAGCGAUGAAGGCCUUAGGGUUGUAAAGUUCUUUCAGCUGGGAAGAUAAUGACGGUACCAGCAGAAGAAGCCCCGGCUAACUCCGUG
rnacentral:rRNA from 1 species